UGUCCAGUAGCACCUUAGAGACCAACUAAGUUUGUUCUGGGUAUAAGCUUUCGUGUGCAUGCACACUUCUUCAGAUACACAGUAGUUGGUCUCUAAGGUGCUACUGGACA